UACGUAGGUGGCAAGCGUUGUCCGGAUUUACUGGGCGUAAAGAGCGCGCAGGCGGCUGGUCAAGUCCGAUGUGAAAUCUCCCGGCUUAACUGGGAAACUGCAUCGGAAACUGCUCGGCUUGAAGGUGGGAGAGGGUAGUGGGAUUCCCGGUGUAGUGGUGAAAUGCGUAGAUAUCGGGAGGAACACCAGUGGCGAAGGCGACUACCUGGCCCAUUCUUGACGCUGAGGCGCGAAAGCUAGGGGAGCGAACGGG
rnacentral:rRNA from 1 species